GAAUUUUCUCAAAAAAUUUGCUUGUAUAACUAAUUUUUGUUUACAAUUCCUAAAAUUACUGAGUCUGAUAAUAAAGGCUUUUGGGGCAUACUAGAAUAGAACCAUACAUGUGUAGCAUUAGUUUUAGUGAAUAUGUUUGUCUUUAUUUUGUUAAGCAUGUUACAGUAAUUUACAAAUGAACAAGUCAUUUAAAUGAUGCUUAAGAUAAUGCAUAAUGAUUAUUACAUAGUCCAGUUUUCAUUCAUGUACAAAUGUUUUAUCUAGUCGAAGUUUUCAUUCGUAUAUUUAUAUUUUUUUGUUAUUUAUGCAAUGAUGAUAAAAAUCAGGGUGAUUUUAUUUGUCGAUCUGUAGUGGGUAUAUGGAUUGCCCAUCAUACUUUUACACUGGAACCUUUUUAUUGUUCAGAAUAUUCACAAGAUGAACAUAUUGAUAAGGAUUUAGGAGGCUUGAUUUCCUUUAAUUUUUCACAAAAUGACACCCUGUAGCAUUUUAAAGAAUGGUUAUACACAUGCAAGGAUUUUCUUGUCACUUUUUUACUUAUUAUUAGUUAUUGUUGCAUAUUCAUGUUUUAUAACAUUUUGGAUAUACAGCAUACAGCACAUUGAUUGUGCUUAACCUCUCCACAGAAACAGUUUAACAAAAAAAAACAAAGCUGCAAUACUACGAUUGCAAUACUAGGGUAUCAUUUGUGAUUUCAGUAACAACCGUUUUAAACAAGAUUAAAACAUCCUAUAUGAAAAAAACAGAAGUUGAUUUUUAUCCAUAG
rnacentral:lncRNA from 1 species